UCGUAAGUUUGAAAACGAUUUCGUAAAUGUGUAGAGAUUUAAAUUCGACAAUGAAUGACUUUUUUUUUUUUAUAAGUGACAAUGAAUAACUUAGUGAAAGUAGCUCGAGUAAAGUGAGAAGAUAAAAACCGAAAGCUUUCUGCUAUGUAAAUAACGGUUUAAGAAACAUAAACACUCACACAUUUAAGGAACAUACCAAUUUAAAGUGGUUCGGUCAAAAUGACCUACAUCCACUUGCGAAGCCUUCUUUGAUGAGGCUCCCAACUUCCACUAGCAAAUCACUUUGAAGGGGAAGGAC
rnacentral:lncRNA from 1 species